UACGUAGGGGGCGAGCGUUAUCCGGAAUUACUGGGCGUAAAGCGCACGCAGGCGGUUCGCCAAGUUUGGAGUGACAGUUGUCGGCUCAACCGACAAGGGACUUCAAAAACUGGUGAACUUGAGGACGAGAGAGGAACAUGGAACUCCAGGUGUAGUAGUGAAAUGCGUAGAUAUCUGGAAGAACACCAAUGGCGAAGGCAAUGUUCUGGCUCGUUUCUGACGCUCAGGUGCGAAAGCCAGGGGAGCGAACGGG
rnacentral:rRNA from 1 species